AGUUCUAUGGUGUAAUAGUUAGCACUGUGAACUUUGAAUCCCGUGAUCGGAGUUCAAAUCUCUGUGGAACAU